rnacentral:lncRNA from 1 species
CUUAUUGACAUUAUUGUCUCACCUUGACACUACAGUGUAACCAGUGUUAUCAGACACAGAACUCUAGUAUUGUGUCACCUUGAUAUUAUAGUGUAACCUGUGCUAUCGGACACACUGGGGGACCAGAAAAAAAAUGCCAGAUUAAGCAGGGUGUCGAAAUACCCAAGUUUAUUUUCUGUAAGGAUAGGCUUAUUUUGGGACCAUGAUAAUGUGUUGGUUAAAGCAGGAUGUUGGAAUACUCAGAUGUCAGAUUAGGCAGGUUACACUGUAUAUGUACAAUAUGUAUUUAUUUCAAUCUCUCUG